rnacentral:rRNA from 1 species
AAGUAAAGUGGCGGACGGGUGCNUAACGCGUAGACAACCUGCCCUUGAGCGGGGGAUAACCACGGGAAACUGUGGCUAAUACCGCAUAACGUCCGGAUCCCGCAUGGGAACCGGAUCAAAGUCUUCGGACGCUCAGGGAUGGGUCUGCGUCGGAUUAGCUCGUUGGUGAGGUAACGGCUCACCAAGGCAACAAUCCGUAGCUGGUCUGAGAGGAUGAUCAGCCACACUGGCACUGAGACACGGGCCAGACUCCUACGGGAGGCAGCAGUGGGGAAUCUUAGGCAAUGGGGGAAACCCUGACCUAGCCAUGCCGCGUGGAGGAAGACACCCCUACGGGGCGUAAACUCCUUUUCUGCCGGAAGAAAACCCUGUUUUGCAGGGCGUGACGGUACGGCAGGAAUAAGCACCGGCUAACUCCGUGCCAGCAGCCGCGGUAAUACGGAGGGUGCAAGCGUUGUCCGGAAUCACUGGGCGUAAAGGGUGUGUAGGUGGGGCAGCAAGUCAGAGGUGAAAGCCCACGGCUUAACCGUGGAAGUGCCUUUGAAACUGCUGUUCUUGAGUCCUGGAGAGGUUGCCGGAAUUCGUGGUGUAGCGGUGAAAUGCGUAGAUAUCACGAGGAACACCAGAGGCGUAAGCGGGCAACUGGACAGGUACUGACACUGAGGCACGAGAGCGUGGGGAGCAAACAGGAUUAGAUACCCUGGUA